AGAGUUUGAUCAUGGCUCAGGAUGAACGUUGGCGGCGUGCCUAAUACAUGCAAGUCGAACGCGGGCACUUGUGCCCGAGUGGCGAACGGGUGAGUAAUACAUAAGUAACCUGGCCUUUACAGGGGGAUAACUGCUGGAAACGGCAGCUAAGACCGCAUAGGUAGGGACACUGCAUGGUGACCGUAUUAAAAGUGCUGCAAGGCACUGGUAGAGGAUGGACUUAUGGCGCAUUAGCUGGUUGGUGAGGUAACGGCUCACCAAGGCGACGAUGCGUAGCCGACCUGAGAGGGUGACCGGCCACACUGGGACUGAGACACGGCCCAGACUCCUACGGGAGGCAGCAGUAGGGAAUUUUCGGCAAUGGGGGGAACCCUGACCGAGCAACGCCGCGUGAAGGAAGAAGGAAUUCGUUCUGUAAACUUCUGUUAUAAAGGAAGAAAGACGGAUGGAGGAAAUGACAUCCGAGUGACGGUACUUUAUGAGAAAGCCACGGCUAACUACGUGCCAGCAGCCGCGGUAAUACGUAGGUGGCAAGCGUUAUCCGGAAUUAUUGGGCGUAAAGAGGGAGCAGGCGGCAGCAAAGGUCUGUGGUGAAAGACUGAAGCUUAACUUCAGUAAGCCAUAGAAACCGGGCAGCUAGAGUGCAGGAGAGGAUCGUGGAAUUCCAUGUGUAGCGGUGAAAUGCGUAGAUAUAUGGAGGAACACCAGUGGCGAAGGCGACGAUCUGGCCUGCAACUGACGCUCAGUCCCGGAAGCGUGGGGAGCAAAUAGGAUUAGAUACCCUAGUAGUCCACGCCGUAAACGAUGAGUACUAAGUGUUGGAAGUCAAAUUUCAGUGCUGCAGUUAACGCAGUAAGUACUCCGCCUGAGUAGUACGUUCGCAAGAAUGAAACUCAAAGGAAUUGACGGGGGCCCGCACAAGCGGUGGAGCAUGUGGUUUAAUUCGAAGCAACGCGAAGAACCUUACCAGGUCUUGACAUACUCAUAAAGGAUCCAGAGAUGGAUAGAUAGUUAUAUGAGAUACAGGUGGUGCAUGGUUGUCGUCAGCUCGUGUCGUGAGAUGUUGGGUUAAGUCCCGCAACGAGCGCAACCCUUGUCGUUAGUUACCAUCAUUAAGUUGGGGACUCUAGCGAGACUGCCAGUGACAAGCUGGAGGAAGGCGGGGAUGACGUCAAAUCAUCAUGCCCCUUAUGACCUGGGCUACACACGUGCUACAAUGGAUGGUGCAGAGGGAAGCGAAGCCGCGAGGCGAAGCAAAACCCAUAAAACCAUUCUCAGUUCGGAUUGUAGUCUGUAACUCGACCACAUGAAGUUGGAAUCGCUAGUAAUCGCGAAUCAGCAUGUCGCGGUGAAUACGUUCUCGGGCCUUGCACACACCGCCCGUC
rnacentral:rRNA from 1 species